GACGAACGCUGGCGGCGUGCUUAACACAUGCAAGUCGAACGGAAAGACCCUGCUCUUGUGGCGUGCUCGAGUGGCGAACGGGUGAGUAACACGCGAGUAACCUGCCCUUGACUUUGUGAUAACUUCAGGAAAAUCGGGCUCAUACCGGAUAGAAUCUCCUGCUGCAUGGGGGUGGUAGGAAAGUUUCGGCGGUUGGGGAUGGACUCGCGGCUUAUCAGCUUGUUGGGCGGGUAGUGACGUACCAAGGUUAUGACGGGUAGCCGGCCUGAGAGGGUGACCGGCCACAUUGGGCCUGAGAUACGGCGCAGACGCCUACGGGCGGCAGCAGUGGGGAGUCUUGCACAAUGGCGGGGAGCCUGAUGCAGCAGCGCCGCGUGCGGGAUGCCGGCCUUCGGGUUGUAAACAGCUUUCGACGGUGCUGAAGAGUGAGUGACGGUAAUGGGUAAAGAAGCAACGGCUAACUACGUG
rnacentral:rRNA from 1 species